rnacentral:lncRNA from 1 species
UGGCGGCAUGUGUUCUUUUGUCAGAAGCGACGGUGUUUGUCUGCAAGUUUGUUUGUUCAGUGUCAAUUUUCAGUGUACGUGUCGUUCUGCUAGCAUGGGGGAUAGUGAAUUUUGCAGGUUGAUUUUGUUAGGCUCAAUCACUGAACAUGUGUGUAUGCUGAUUAGUGAUUUCUGUGAUAUUUGGUCUCAGCCAAGUUACCAGUGCAGAUUUUUAACAUGUCAGCAGAAUCUUACUUCUAUUUAACAUUCUAAUCAAGUUUUAUACUCCCUCCUAUCCAAAUUAAUUAUCGCAGCUCUAGUACUACUUAUCUUGAUCGGAGGGAGUAAUAUUUUUUCCUGUUUUCCUAUCUGGUCGUACGGAGGCCCAUUGACAUUGUCGAAUCACUUGCAUCAGGAUUGCCUGUUGAUAGAUGGGGGAGCUGCAACUUCGAAAAUCAGCUGGCCAGUUCCAUGCUCCAGCACCGGUUCUUCUGUACAAGGAAUGACCAAAGUUCAGGUGAAACUCACCUAUUUUGGGACUUCCCUCUCCGUUGGUGAUCAAACUAAAUGCCUGAAUUGCUGAUUGCAAUCAUGAGUCAUGAAGAAUGGAGUACUGUUGAGGCAGCAGUUUAGCUAUAAUAGAGUACUUUUUUGUGAUGUGUUAUGACAUAGUUAAAUUGUCGUGAAUAUUCAUUUUGUUCAGUCAUUUAAGUAUCUUCUUUUGCAUUCACUCCCCCAGUCUUCAUUUUCAAUUUUGAGAUCAGUAAUUCAGUCUUUUGUUCUUUAGUCCUUGUGUAUGCAUCACUUUUCAGUGCAUCAUUCUGGAUAGUUUACCUCUGUUGCAGUUUCCAAACCUUCACCUACCAUUGUCUAUGACCUACCAAAACUGCAAGUCCUGUCAAGUCCAUUAUUUUUGUAUCAUGUUUGGUCCGUCAUUUUUGUGAUCAGUCUUUCAGUCUUUCAGUCCUUUCAUUUUUGCUUCACUUUUCAGUGUAGUUCUUCAUUUCUCCUUUUGUACUAGUAAGUUAUAAUUCCUUAGUUCUGAUUUAUUGAAAAAACAAUCUUUUGUGUAAUUAUACGGUCCUCAGUAUCUCGGUUAAAUUAGUCCCCCUUAUUUCUACAUCUUGCUCAUUUUAUUCAGUUCAUUGGCUAGUUUCACUUAGUUUAAUCAUGUCAAUGUCGUGCAUCCUUCGCUCACUCAGUAAACAGCAAUUAGGCCUGCAUCCUUGCUCUUCUUGGGAGAAGUUCUAUUUUUGUUUUUUCAACAAUGCACGAUGUAAUUUUGUAUUUAUAUUCUGGAAUGCACAUUUCUUUUAUCAUUGGGGCUGGCAGAUGUUGAUGCACUCGAGGAGGCUGUAGUAUCAGUUGUUUUACACAUGCUGUAG